rnacentral:rRNA from 1 species
CGGUGUUCAACUGGCGUGCCCGCGGGACGUCCUGCCGGUGAGCUCAGCCCGCGAGGGCGGCUCAACUUGAAAUCCCAUCGCGGUGCUCUUCAUUGAGUGUCGAGGUGGGCCGGCACGAUUACUUUUGAACAAAUUAGAGUGCUUAAAGCAGGCUAAAAUUUUGCCUGAAUACUGUGUAUAUGGAAUAAUGGAAUAGGACCUCGGUUCUAUUUUGUUGGUUUUCGGAACCCCGAGGUAAUGAUUAAUAGGAACGGAUGGGGGCAUUCGUAUUGCGACGUUAGAGGUGAAAUUCUUGGAUCGUCGCAAGACGGACUAAAGCGAAAGCAUUUGCCAAAAACGCUUUCAUUGAUCAAGAACGAAAGUUAGAGGUUCGAAGGCGAUCAGAUACCGCCCUAGUUCUAACCAUAAACUAUGCCAGCUAGCGAUCCGCCGACGUCCCUCUGAUGACUCGGCGGGCAGCUUCCGGGAAACCAAAGCUUUUGGGUUCCGGGGGAAGUAUGGUUGCAAGGCUGAAACUUAAAGGAAUUGACGGAAGGGCACCACCAGGAGUGGAGCCUGCGGCUUAAUUUGACUCAACACGGGAAACCUCACCAGGCCCAGACACUGGAAGGAUUGACAGAUUGAGAGCUCUUUCUUGAUUCAGUGGGUGGUGGUGCAUGGCCGUUCUUAGUCGGUGGAGCGAUUUGUCAGGUUAAUUCCGAUAACGGACGAGACUCUGACCUGAUAACUAGACGCACUUGCGGCAUCUCAAAGGUCCGCCGGCGGCUGGCUUUGCGCCCGUCGUCGCGCGCGAUUUUUACUGCCGGCGUACAAUAAAUUCUUCUUAGAGGGACAAGUGG